rnacentral:rRNA from 1 species
UACGAAGGGGGCUAGCGUUGUUCGGAAUUACUGGGCGUAAAGCGCACGUAGGCGGAUCCUUAAGUCAGGGGUGAAAUCCCGAGGCUCAACCUCGGAACUGCCUUUGAUACUGGGGAUAUCGAGUCCGGGAGAGGUGAGUGGAACUGCGAGUGUAGAGGUGAAAUUCGUAGAUAUUCGCAAGAACACCAGUGGCGAAGGCGGCUCACUGGCCCAUUACUGACGCUGAGGCACGAAAGCGUGGGGAGCAAACAGGG